rnacentral:rRNA from 1 species
GCCUGGCCCUAAAUCUUGAUGCCUCACCCCCUACUCAAGCAUCCGCCCGAGAACUACGAGCACAAACGCUUAAAACUCUAAGGACUUGGCGGUGCCCCAAACCCACCUAGAGGAGCCUGUUCUGUAAUCGAUGAUCCACGAUACACCUUACCAUUUCUUGCAAAACUCAGCCUAUAUACCGCCGUCGCCAGUCCACCCUCCCUGACGGUUCAACAGUGGGCGCAAUAGCCUAACCACGCUAAUAAGACAGGUCAAGGUAUAGCCUAUGGAAUGGAAGCAAUGGGCUACAUUUUCUAGAUUAGAACAUAACGGCAAAGGGGCAUGAAAUAGCCCCUGGAAGGCGGAUUUAGCAGUAAAGAGGGACAAUCGAGCCCUCUUUAAGCCGGCCCUGGGGC